rnacentral:rRNA from 1 species
CCGGGUUGAAGCCGCGGAGUGAUCCUGUGGUGGACCGUAUGGGAGUGAGAAUGCAGACAUGAGUAGCGAGAGCAAGGUGAGGAUCCUUGCCGCUGGAUGACCAAGGGUUCCAGGGCCACGUUCGUCGUCCCUGGGUGAGUCGGGUCCUAAGGCGAGGCCGACAGGCGUAGUCGAAUGGAUGAACGGGUUGAUAUUCCCGUACCGGCCCUUUGACCGAUCAACGGCCCCCUGGCCGAACACACAUUUCCGUGUUGGUUCCCAUGCCCUUCGGGGUGUGGGGCGAUGCAUGGGUCUGUGUGGGGUGCCUUGGGGUCGAGCGCGUGGAGUGACGCGGACGGGUAGCCGGCCGGGGAGGUGGUUUUCCCUGGUCAAGCGUGUGGCCCCGCCCCCAGGCAAAUCCGGGGGCAUCAUGGGGUGAGGCGUGAUGAUGGGGGCCCUUAGGGCCCGAUAUCCGGUGAUCCCGUCGGCCGAGAAAAGCUUCGGCGUGAGGUCUUGGGCCGCUCGUACCCCAAACCGACACAGGUGGUCAGGUAGAGUAUACCAAAGCGAGCGAGCGAAUCCUGGUCAAGGAACUCGGCAAACCGCUCCCGUGCCUUCGGCAUAAGGGAGACCCCCCGCGGUGACGGGCCCUCGCGGCCCUCGAGCGGUGGGGGGUGGCACAAGCCAGGGGGUAGCGACUGUUUACCAAAAACACAGGUGCAUGCCAAGACGCAAGUCGCCGUAUAUGCACUGACGCCUGCCCGGUGCCGGAAGGUUAAGAGGAUCCAUCAGCGCGGCUUGCCGCGCGAAGUGGUGAAUUCAAGCCCCGGUAAACGGCGGUGGUAACUAUAACCAUCCUAAGGUAGCGAAAUUCCUUGUCGGGUAAGUUCCGACCUGCACGAAUGGCGUAACGACUUCCCCGCUGUCUCGACCAGGAGCUCGGCGAAAUUGCAGUACGAGUAAAGAUGCUCGUUAAGCGCAGAAGGACGAAAAGACCCCGGGACCUUUACUAUACCUUGGUAUUGGCAUCAGGUGCGGAUUGUGUAGCAUAGGCGGGAGACUGUGAAGCACGCACGCCAGUGUGUGUGGAGUCGGCCAGUGAAAUACCGCUCUGUCCCCAUCUGAUGCCUAACCCGGACAAGUGAGCCUUGUCGGGGACAGUGCCUGGCGGGUAGUUUAACUGGGGCGGUUGCCUCCCAAAGAGUAACGGAGGCGCUCAAAGGUCCGCUCGGCCCGGUUGGCAAUCGGGUGUCGAGUGUAAUCGCACAAGCGGGCUUGACUGCGAGAUCGACGGAUCGAGCAGGGACGAAAGUCGGAGAUAGUGAUCCGGUGCCGGCGUACGGACGCGGCAUCGCUCAACGGAUAAAAGGUACCCCGGGGAUAACAGGCUGAUCAUUCCCAAGAGUCCAUAUCGACGGGAUGGUUUGGCACCUCGAUGUCGGCUCGUCGCAUCCUGGGGCUGGAGCAGGUCCCAAGGGUUCGGCUGUUCGCCGAUUAAAGCGGCACGCGAGCUGGGUUCAGAACGUCGUGAGACAGUUUGGUCUCUAUCCUCUGCGCUCGUUGGAAUCCUGAGGAGGCCUGCCCAUAGUACGAGAGGACCUGGGUGGACGAACCUCUGGUAUGCCAGUUGUCGCGCCAGCGGCAUGGCUGGUUGGCCACGUUCGGGAGGGAUAACCGCUGAAAGCAUCUAAGCGGGAAGCCCGCUCCAAGAUAAGGAUUCCUGACCCCCUUCGAGGGGGUGAAAGACCCCAGGUAGAACACCUGGUCGAUAGACCGGACGUGGAAGCCGCGCGAGCGGUGGAGCUGACCGGCACUAACGGUCGAAACACAAACACAC